GCUCAAAGCUAAUGCAUGAUUAUUUUUUUCUAAUACCCUCCACCAAAUGAUCCCAAAAUAAAAUUAAACAAGGUUAAUGGUGUGAUAACCAAAAUAACAUGUUGAAUUCCAUGGCAAAAUAUGUAGAGUUGCUCCAAUCAACCACGCCUAAAAAUAGGCAGUAAUUGCAAACUCCACCAUCAAGAACCUUUUCUGGCCCCUAUUGAUAACGUCAUCAGCGUUACUUAAAUAUACAAAAUCAUACAACCAGAAAAAAUAAUAAAGAGUUCUCAACUUGGAUCGGACAAUCUUUUAUUGUUCUAAAAGCCGAGUUAACCUGUAAUAAAAAGUUUACAGUGACCAAUCUAAACUUGCAUCCCAAAUGGGGUUAGGAGAGAGUCUAAGAUGACAGAGUUGAUCAAAAUACAAGGACAAGAAUAGCAGCAUUAGUACUCUCCAAGAAUUCAAAACUAGAGGCGUAAGCUAUUUCAGUUGAUACCAUGGAAUGAUGGCAAGACAGCAAUAAGUGGAUCACCAUAACCAACAGCCUCGCCAUCAUUAAAGAGGAUUUUCAAGACUUCUCCAGCCGCAUCUGACCUGACAGGAAGUUCUGUCCCAAACUGAUCCAAAAAGCCAAUAAUCUGUCCCUCCUUGAUAAUAUCACCCUCUUUACAUGCAGGAGGUUGUUUCUUUCCCUUUAAUGUCCUGGCCCUUCGGAAUGAACCAACCGUGGGGCACGAUACAAGAACAUAACCACUAGCUCCAGUAGACUCUAGAGCCGCUAAUUUUGCUGAUUUUUCAGCAGCAACGUUUGUGAAUGGGCUGAUCUUUCCUGAGGUUGAUUUCCCUGGGGAUGCUGCAGGAGCAGCAGUUGAUGAAAUGGAUGGUUUGCUUGCACUAGGUGGUGGUGGUG
rnacentral:misc_RNA from 1 species